rnacentral:rRNA from 1 species
AGUGAACGCUGGCGGUAGGCCUAACACAUGCAAGUCGAACGGCAGCACAGUAAGAGCUUGCUCUUACGGGUGGCGAGUGGCGGACGGGGGAGGAAUACAUCGGAAUCUACUUUUUCGUGGGGGAUAACGUAGGGAAACUUACGCUAAUACCGCAUACGACCUACGGGUGAAAGCAGGGGAUCUUCGGACCUUGCGCGAUUGAAUGAGCCGAUGUCGGAUUAGCUAGUUGGCGGGGUAAAGGCCCACCAAGGCGACGAUCCGUAGCUGGUCUGAGAGGAUGGUUAGCCACACUGGAACUGAGACACGGUCCAGACUCCUACGGGAGGCAGCAGUGGGGAAUAUUGGACAAUGGGCGCAAGCCUGAUCCAGCCAUACCGCGUGGGUGAAGAAGGCCUUCGGGUUGUAAAGCCCUUUUGUUGGGAAAGAAAAGCAGCAGGUUAAUCCCCCGCUGUUCUGACGGUACCCAAAGAAUAAGCACCGGCUAACUUCGUG